rnacentral:snRNA from 1 species
GUGCUCACUUCGGCAGCACAUAUACUAAAAUUGGAACGAUACAGAGAAGAUUAGCAUGGUCCCUGCACAAGGAUGACACACAAAUUCGUGAAGCAUUCCAUACUAAA